CAAGCCAAGGAAGUCAUUAACCUCGCAUUGUCUUUCAAACAUUUGUUACUUCUGAGAUUCGAAUUGAUAGGCAUUAUUUGAAAUGUGAGGCAAAUGAUCUCCUUGGUGAAGUUAAAAUGGUUGAGAACAUCAUAGAUGUGUUUGGCCUUACAUGCACACCACCUAUUUGAUGAAAGUUCCAGGGAUAAUGAUCGGGAGUUGGGAUUGAGUGGCUUCCAUCAAGAUCAGCAAAACUGAAAGAAGGGAGCAGAGAGAGAAGAGAAAUAAGGGACGAAAGGGGAAGAUAUGUGAGCCGUGGAAAGAAGAGAGAAGAAAGAAAAGACCAUCAAGAUCAACAAAAGCGAAAGAAAAGAGCAAAGAGAAAAGAGGAAUAGAAGAGACGAAAGCAGAAGAUCUAUCCCUUUGUUUUCUACUUUGACAUCUGGGUAGCCAACUGCAACAGUUUCAAGCUGUGGUCCUUGCAACAGUGAGAAUUUGGUUUGUAAAAGUCCAAGCAGGCAAGCACUAAGAUACAGAAGACAACAGGACAAAUCAAUCUUUGUUUCUUUUGGAAAAGUUAGAUAUUACAAGUUUGAUUGAUAACAUUGAUUAUAACAAAUUGAAUGUCCUUGCCUUGAUAGAACUUAAUUUCCGAGCUCUUACUAUGUCUAAAAACAAAGCUUCUGUUGUCUCUUUCUUUCCUUAAUUAAAAGUUUAGGGUAAGAACAAAAUCGAAUCAAAUACAGGAGGGGAUUCAAUUAUCAUAUUAUUCAAUCGUUUAUAUAUGAAGUUUACUCUGAUUUUGUAGCCUUUGGUCUACUUUUUGAAUAGUUCGAACAACCAAACUCUUUUCGUACUGUUAGAUACAAAAAGCAAACUGAAGGAAAUAAACAAAGAUCUGGUUU